ACGCUGGCGGCAGGCCUAACACAUGCAAGUCGAGCGGCAGCACGGGUACUUGUACCUGGUGGCGAGCGGCGGACGGGUGAGUAAUGCCUAGGAAUCUGCCUGGUAGUGGGGGAUAACGCUCGGAAACGGACGCUAAUACCGCAUACGUCCUACGGGAGAAAGCAGGGGACCUUCGGGCCUUGCGCUAUCAGAUGAGCCUAGGUCGGAUUAGCUAGUUGGUGAGGUAAUGGCUCACCAAGGCGACGAUCCGUAACUGGUCUGAGAGGAUGAUCAGUCACACUGGAACUGAGACACGGUCCAGACUCCUACGGGAGGCAGCAGUGGGGAAUAUUGGACAAUGGGCGAAAGCCUGAUCCAGCCAUGCCGCGUGUGUGAAGAAGGUCUUCGGAUUGUAAAGCACUUUAAGUUGGGAGGAAGGGCAUUUACCUAAUACGUAAGUGUUUUGACGUUACCGACAGAAUAAGCACCGGCUAACUCUGUGCCAGCAGCCGCGGUAAUACAGAGGGUGCAAGCGUUAAUCGGAAUUACUGGGCGUAAAGCGCGCGUAGGUGGUUUGUUAAGUUGAAUGUGAAAUCCCCGGGCUCAACCUGGGAACUGCAUCCAAAACUGGCAAGCUAGAGUAUGGUAGAGGGUGGUGGAAUUUCCUGUGUAGCGGUGAAAUGCGUAGAUAUAGGAAGGAACACCAGUGGCGAAGGCGACCACCUGGACUGAUACUGACACUGAGGUGCGAAAGCGUGGGGAGCAAAC
rnacentral:rRNA from 1 species